rnacentral:rRNA from 1 species
GUAAGGCUGGUGCGUAGGCAAAUCCGCGCAUCGUAAGGCUGAGCUGUGACGGGGAGGGAAAAUUACAGUACCGAAGGUCAUGAUCUCAAGCUGCCGAGAAAAGCCUCUAGCCAGGCGAAGGUGCCCGUGCCGUAAACCGACACAGGUAGGUGGGCUGAGAAUGCUAAGGCGCGCGGAAGAACUCUCGUUAAGGAACUCGGCAAAAUGACCCCGUAACUUCGGGAGAAGGGGUGCCUCGGUAGGGUGAAUAGCCCGAGGGGGCCGCAGUGAAAAGGCCCAAGCGACUGUUUAGCAAAAACACAGGUCUGUGCGAAGCCGCAAGGCGAAGUAUACGGGCUGACGCCUGCCCGGUGCUGGAAGGUUAAGAGGAGUGGUUAGCCGCAAGGCGAAGCUAUGAAUUGAAGCCCCAGUAAACGGCGGCCGUAACAAUAACGGUCCUAAGGUAGCGAAAUUCCUUGUCAGGUAAAUUCUGACCCGCACGAAUGGCGUAACGACUUGGGCGCUGUCUCAACGAGAGAUCCGGUGAAAUUUUAAUACCUGUGAAGAUGCAGGUUACCCGCGACUAGACGGAAAGACCCCAUGGAGCUUUACUGGAGCUUGAUAUUGGACUUUGGUACGAUCUGUACAGGAUAGGUGGGAGCCUUUGAAGGCGGAGCGCAAGCUUCGCUGGAGGCGCCGUUGGGAUACCACCCUGAUCGUAUCGGAGUUCUAACCCGCUACCGUAAUCCGGUAGGGGGACCGUGUCAGGCGGCCAGUUUGACUGGGGCGGUCGCCUCCUAAAAUGUAACGGAGGCGCCCCAAGGUUCCCUCAGAAUGGUUGGAAAUCAUUCGAAGAGUGCAAAGGCAUAAGGGAGCUUGACUGCGAGACCUACAAGUCGAGCAGGGACGAAAGUCGGGCUUAGUGAUCCGGUGGUACCGAAUGGAAGGGCCAUCGCUCAACGGAUAAAAGCUACCCUGGGGAUAACAGGCUUAUCUCCCCCAAGAGUCCACAUCGACGGGGAGGUUUGGCACCUCGAUGUCGGCUCAUCGCAUCCUGGGGCUGAAGUAGGUCCCAAGGGUUGGGCUGUUCGCCCAUUAAAGCGGUACGCGAGCUGGGUUCAGAACGUCGUGAGACAGUUCGGUCCCUAUCUGUCGUGGGCGCAGGAAAUUUGAGAGGAGCUGUCCUUAGUACGAGAGGACCGGGAUGGACGUACCGCUGGUGUACCAGUUGUCUCGCCAGAGGCACCGCUGGGUAGCUAAGUACGGACGGGAUAAGCGCUGAAAGCAUCUAAGCGUGAAGCCCCCCUCAAGAUGAGAUUUCCCAAUUAGUAAAACCCCUUGUAGACCACGAGGUUGAUAGGUUCGGGGUGGAAACGCAGCAAUGCGUGGAGCUGACGAAUACUAAUCGGUCGAGGGCUUAUCCAG